GAUGAACGCUGGCGGCGUGCCUAAUACAUGCAAGUCGAGCGAACAGACGAGGAGCUUGCUCCUCUGACGUUAGCGCCGGACGGGUGAGUAACACGUGGAUAACCUACCUAUAAGACUGGGAUAACUUCGGGAAACCGGAGCUAAUACCGGAUAAUAUAUUGAACCGCAUGGUUCAAUAGUGAAAGACGGUUUUGCUGUCACGUAUAGAUGGAUCCGCGCCGCAUUAGCUAGUUGUUAAGGUAACGGCUUACCAAGGCGACGAUGCGUAGCCGACCUGAGAGGGUGAUCGGCCACACUGGAACUGAGACACGGUCCAGACUCCUACGGGAGGCAGCAGUAGGGAAUCUUCCGCAAUGGGCGAAAGCCUGACGGAGCAACGCCGCGUGAGUGAUGAAGGUCUUCGGAUCGUAAAACUCUGUUAUUAGGGAAGAACAAAUGUGUAAGUAACUAUGCACGUAUUGACGGUACCUAAUCAGAAAGCCACGGCUAACUACGUG
rnacentral:rRNA from 1 species